rnacentral:rRNA from 1 species
GGGCCCGCACAAGCAGUGGAUUAUGUGGUUUAAUUCGAAGCAACGCGAAGAACCUUACCAGGGUUUGACAUCCAACUAACGAAGCAGAGAUGCAUUAGGUGCCCUUCGGGGAAAGUUGAGACAGGUGGUGCAUGGUUGUCGUCAGCUCGUGUCGUGAGAUGUUGGGUUAAGUCCCGCAACGAGCGCAACCCUUAUUGUUAGUUGCUACGCGAGAGCACUCUAGCGAGACUGCCGUUGACAAAACGGAGGAAGGUGGGGACGACGUCAAAUCAUCAUGCCCCUUAUAUCCUGGGCUACACACGUAAUACAAUGGCGCAUAACAAAGGGAAGCGAAGGAGCGAUCUGGAGCGAAUCCCCAAAAGGCGUCCCAGUUCGGAUUGCAGGCUGCAACUCGCCUGCAUGAAGUCGGAAUUGCUAGUAAUCGCGGAUCAGCACGCCGCGGUGAAUACGUUCCCGGGCCUU